rnacentral:rRNA from 1 species
UACGUAGGGGGCAAGCGUUGUCCGGAUUUAUUGGGCGUAAAGAGCGUGUAGGCGGUUAGGUAAGUCCGUUGUGAAAACUCGAGGCUCAACCUCGAGACGCCGAUGGAAACCAUCUAACUAGAGUCCGGAAGAGGAGAGUGGAAUUCCUGGUGUAGCGGUGAAAUGCGCAGAUAUCAGGAGGAACACCAAUGGCGAAGGCAGCUCGCUGGGACGGUACUGACGCUGAGACGCGAAAGCGUGGGGAGCAAACAGG